ACCGCUAACAGUGAAAUAAACACGAGACGGGCGAUGUCUGACGUGUUUCCCUCCCAGAAGUCUUCAUAUGAAAUCUACACCACUGCAGGACCAGCAGAAAGGCGGUCAUCCUGAAGCAGGCGGGAAGAGAGACUCAAUGAAGUAUGCUGAUGUCCAAUGAUCGCAGCAUGAUCCUUGAUGUGUUCAAUGUAUUCUACUUUCCAUGGGGCAGAAAGACCUGCAUCCUAAAAUACAGUCUUUGACAAACCUAUCUGGUUAAAAAGUAAAAAACGUCUCUAGGUUACGUAUGUAACUCUAGUUCCUCGAGGGAACGAGGC